AAGUCCCGUAACGAGCGCAACCCUCGUCUUUAGUUGCUACCAUUUAGUUGGGCACUCUAAAGAAACUGCCGGUGAUAAGCCGGAGGAAGGUGGGGAUGACGUCAAGUCCUCAUGGCCCUUACGCGCUGGGCUACACACGUGCUACAAUGGCGGUGACAGAGGGCUGCAAACCCGCGAGGGUGAGCUAAUCUCCAAAAGCCGUCUCAGUUCGGAUUGUUCUCUGCAACUCGAGAGCAUGAAGGCGGAAUCGCUAGUAAUCGCGGAUCAGCACGCCGCGGUGAAUACGUUCCCAGGCCUUGUACACACAGCCCGU
rnacentral:rRNA from 1 species